GAUCGAAACAAAACUAUCACUCAGUCUUUGAGCUUUGUUUACUCAGGUGCAAGCGGACGUGUACGUUCGUGUACCGACCAGGAGGGACCGACACUAGGUCUGGCGGCAGUUCGGCGAAUCAGGAGGCAGUUCGAUCGAUCAACGCGAGAGGGAAUGGAAAAAGAACAACGUUUUAAUGAAGCGCUAAAAUUUGACUGUUUUAAAAUCGAUUCGGGUAACACCGGUUGGAGUUGACGACCGACCGACGGGUUUGUGAUGUUCGCAGCCGGGUAAAGGAUUUACCGGUCCUUAAGUGUGUGUGUGCGAAUGAAACGGUGUGACGGGAUGCUGGCCGUUGGGAAGGGAAAAGGAAAGGGUUUCUGUUUGCUUUUUUGAUUAUAUAUUAAUCAGUUACAUUAGCAAUUUA